AGAUUGAACGCUGGCGGCAUGCCUUACACAUGCAAGUCGAACGGCAGCACGGGAGCAAUCCUGGUGGCGAGUGGCGAACGGGUGAGUAAUAUAUCGGAACGUGCCCAGUCGUGGGGGAUAACGCAGCGAAAGCUGUGCUAAUACCGCAUACGAUCUAUGGAUGAAAGCGGGGGAUCGCAAGACCUCGCGCGAUUGGAGCGGCCGAUAUCAGAUUAGCUAGUUGGUGGGGUAAAAGCCUACCAAGGCGACGAUCUGUAGCUGGUCUGAGAGGACGACCAGCCACACUGGAACUGAGACACGGUCCAGACUCCUACGGGAGGCAGCAGUGGGAAUUUUGGACAAUGGGCGCAAGCCUGAUCCAGCAAUGCCGCGUGCAGGAUGAAGCCUUCGGUGUAAACUGCUUUUGUACGGUAACGAAACGGUUCUCUCUAAUACAGGGCUAAGUGACGUACCGUAAGAAUAAGACACCGGCUAA
rnacentral:rRNA from 1 species